GGACUACCAGGGUAUCUAAUCCCGUUCGCUCCCCUGGCUUUCGCGCCUCAGCGUCAGCAGAGGUCCAGCAGCCCGCUUUCGCCACCGGCGUUCCUUCCGAUAUCAACGCAUUUCACCGCUCCACCGGAAGUUCCGGCUGCCCCUACCUCCCUCCAGCCUACCCGUCUCCGGGGCACUUUUCCGGUUGAGCCGAAAGGUUUCACCCCGGACAAGGUAAGCCGCCUACGCGCCCUUUAAGCCCAGUGAAUCCGAACAACGUUCGCACGGUUCGUCUUACCGCGGCUGCUGGCAC
rnacentral:rRNA from 1 species